UCCACCAGAGGGCGCCCUUGCCACCCUUCCGUCAAACCCAGUGCUCGGCAUUUCCCAGAUGGUUGGCAGGUCUUUGCCCUCUACAGUGUGUGCUCAUAAAAGCAAGGGCUCUGUGUCCUGAAGAAUGCUGCUUCUGUGACAGCUUUCUGGCUGUGACCGGCAGGCAAAUGCUAUCUCUGUGACAUCACAGCAGCAGUUUCAAAUGAGGGGAAAGCAAGCAAAACUUUAAAAGGGAAAAAAACGAAUACAUCUAGGUUGACUUCUCUCCAUCGUGAUCUAUGUGUGUUCACUUUCUUGACACUCUAAUGGCUGGGCUCUGCAGUGCAGCAGGGAGGGAGACAUAGAGUGACUGAAGUCCAAGGUCCAGUGGUGAAAUGAAAAGACCGUCAGCAGAUAUUUGACCCAAGAAGGAGGCAUCCGGAUGGAAGUACUGUGAGUUCUUAUGAGGUCAGAUUUUCUAAGAACAUAUUGGAAGGGGAGAUAUACUUCACAUCACUUCUCUACUUGGAACUUGCUUCUUAGCACCCUGUUCUCCUUCCCAUUCUGCCAUGGGCCUCUGCCCCUCCUCACUGAUCACCACUGGGAACUCACAGUCAGCUCCCUUUAAUGGGUUCCUCUCCCUUCUCAUAGGAUCAGACAAGAGGUUGAUGUGGGUCUGACCACACCUCAGUCAAGUGUGUGGACCUUCCAUUCUACAUUGUGUCAACACAAAGGAGUAGAGGUAUUUUGGUCUUGUCUGAAAACCAGGGUAAUUCAAGAAACAAACAACAUAUUUUCCUAUUACAAAACUCAAGUCUGUA